rnacentral:rRNA from 1 species
GAUGAACGCUGGCGGCGUGCCUAAUACAUGCAAGUCGAGCGAAUGGAUUAAGAGCUUGCUCUUAUGAAGUUAGCGGCGGACGGGUGAGUAACACGUGGGUAACCUGCCCAUAAGACUGGGAUAACUCCGGGAAACCGGGGCUAAUACCGGAUAACAUUUUGAACCGCAUGGUUCGAAAUUGAAAGGCGGCUUCGGCUGUCACUUAUGGAUGGACCCGCGUCGCAUUAGCUAGUUGGUGAGGUAACGGCUCACCAAGGCGACGAUCGGUAGCCGGCCUGGGAGGGCGGACGGCCACACUGGGACUGAGACACGGCCCAGACUCCUACGGGAGGCAGCAGUGGGGAAUUUUUCGCAAUGGGGGCAACCCUGACGAAGCAACGCCGCGUGGAGGAUGAAGGCCUUCGGGUCGUAAACUCCUGUCGACCGGGACGAAUGUGCCCGACCUAAUACGUCGGCGCAUUGACGGUACCGGUGGAGGAAGCCACGGCUAACUCUGUGCCAGCCGCCGCCGUAA